rnacentral:lncRNA from 1 species
CGAGGACCGGCGGCGCCCUGCCCCGGCCCGGCAACACUGGCCCCGCAGAGCCGGAGCCUCGCGACGGCGGCGCCACGAAGGAGGCCCAUAACGCCCUGUUGGAUGGUGGGCCAGGCUGGGAGAGUCUGUUCCCUGCAGACUAGACUGUGGGCCCGACCAGCUGUCAUGACUUCUCCAAAAUGUCCCAGUCUUUGCACAUUCAUUUUCUAAAAGAGUAGCAAACAGAUGUGAAAUGAAGAGAGAAUACUUCUUGAAGAUAGUCCAACAAUAGGUGAGCAUCUGAAAGCUGAAGAAUAAUCCAUGAUUGAGGGACAGCCAGUGUGCCUGAGGAAGGUGAUGUUUGUGGUGAACUGGUCUUGGAAACCCAAAAGGAAAUGGCAAGAUUGGAGUCUGCUAAAGCAAAUACGCUCUCUGCUGAAGCAACCUGCUGUCUUCCCUUCCCUGUGACAGAGUGUGCUCAUCAUUCUUGCUCUUUCAAGGAAAUGUGUAAAGAUGACUGAGCGAUGACAUUCACUGCCAUCUUAUAAAACAUUACAUUGCAAAGCAAUUUUUGUGGAAUAGUGUCAUGAAAUGACUGAAUAUUUACUCAGAUAUUUUAGAAAAUUUGCAUAACUUUAUGCUUAUAUUAUCAAAAUGUUAAAGGUUCAUUUUAGAAAACUCAAAUACAUGUUAAGUAUAAAUAGGAAAAGAAAAAUGUUAUUUUACUACUUAGAACCACUGAUUUUGUUGUGGCUAUAUAUCCUGCGUUUCUGUACAAAAACAAAUAAUGAGCUCUUAUAAUACACUUCUGUAAUACACUUCUGUACACUUCUGUAAUACACUUUGUAAUACAUACCUGCCUUUUAAACUUAUGUGAGCAAUUCCACGUCAGUUAAUAUGCUAUUAUUAUUAUUUGUACCGUGGAUUGAAAUUAGGACCAUGUGCUUGCGCGGCAGGCACCAGAACCACUGAGCUAAAUCCCCGGCCCCAAUAUGCUUUUAUUAUUAUAAACACUUCAUAAUUUUAUAUCGUAUGGAAAUAGUAUUUAAGCACUUAACAUUACUGGUAACAUUUAAUAAUCGUAAAUAAUGCUGUAGUCAACAUCCACAUAAUUUUUCCCAUACAAUGUUUGUUUAAAAAAUUAUUUUCUGGGCUGGGGAUUUAGCUCAGUGGUUUCGCUACCUGCUGUGCAGGCACAAGGACCCAAGUUCAAUCCCCGGUACCAAAAAGAAAAAGAAAACCCAAAAAUUAUUUUCUGUGUGUGCGUGUGUGUGCGUGUGUGCGUGUGUGUGUGUGUGUGUGUGUGUGUGUUUUCCUCAGCAGGUAGGGUGGACACUCUUAAUUUACUGAGGAGGAAGAAGUCUCCCAUGAACCCCUUCCCUUCCCGGUUAGCAGACUUCCCCUCGGGUCCCGCAAGCCAAGGGUUCUGCUCCUGUCCUCUACCUGUAAGGAGGCUGAGUGGGAGCAUCUGUGCCAGAGGGAGAUGUUGCUGAGAACGUGGCCCACGGAGGCUGCCACAGGGUAAUUCUCUUUUACGUGGAGCUAUCUAUAGUUCCUCCUCUCUACUGUACAGGGCAGCUCUGCUUCUAUGUAUGGAGGCCCACAGCCAUUUUAGCUCUCUCUUCUUUUUUUUGU